UACGGGGGGGGCAAGCGUUGUUCGGAAUUAUUGGGCGUAAAGGGCUCGUAGGUGGCUUGCUAAGUCAGACGUGAAAUCCCUCAGCUUAACUGGGGAACUGCGUCUGAUACUGGCGAGCUUGAGUGCAGGAGAGGAACGCAGAAUUCCGGGUGUAGUGGUGGAAUGCGUAGAGAUCCGGAGGAACACCAGCGGCGAAGGCGGCGUCCUGGACUGGUACUGACGCUCAGGAGCGAAAGCGUGGGGAGCGAUCCGG
rnacentral:rRNA from 1 species